rnacentral:rRNA from 1 species
AUUGAACGCUGGCGGAAUGCUUUACACAUGCAAGUCGAACGGCAGCACGGGGGCAACCCUGGUGGCGAGUGGCGAACGGGUGAGUAAUACAUCGGAACGUGCCCAGUCGUGGGGGAUAACGUAGCGAACGCUACGCUAAUACCGCAUACGAACAUAAGUUGAAAGCGGGGGAUCGCAAGACCUCGCGCGAUUGGAGCGGGCGAUUGCAGAUGAGGUAGUUGGUGAGGUAAAGGCCUACAAAGCCGACGAUCUGUAGCUGGUCUGAGAGGACGACCAGCCACACUGGGACUGAGACACGGCCCAGACUCCUACGGGAGGCAGCAGUGGGGAAUUUUGGACAAUGGGCGCAAGCCUGAUCCAGCCAUUCCGCGUGCAGGAUGAAGGCCCUCGGGUUGUAAACUGCUUUUGUACGGAACGAAACGGUCCUGGUUAAUACCCGGGGCUAAUGACGGUACCGUAAGAAUUAGCACCGGCUAACUACGUGCCAGCCGCCGCGGUAA